rnacentral:rRNA from 1 species
UUGACCUCAGAUCAGGUAGGAA